AAAGAGGAAAGAUGGGGUAUCAUCCCAACAACUUCCUUCGGCCCCAUGAGUGACCUUCAAGGUGGAGGUAGUGCCAGGGUUGAGUCAUCCUGGUCAGCCCCAGCUUGGCACUUCAACUAAUUGUUCUUGCCAAGGAAGAUGGUGAAGACAGGAAGGCUGAUUUAUUUGAGGAUACACGUAUCAACAUCAUCCUACAGGAGAAAACCAAAGAAUUGGGGAAAAAAAAAGCGAGUGCGAGCCGCCGCCUGCAGUGGAGCGUGCUCGGCCUCCAAGAGGCAGUCGUCUCCAACUUUUCCUCUCCCGCCCCAACUCCGCGCGUCUCAAACUUCGGCUCUGCUGGAACCCAAAUCUGCCUGCCGCUCGACUCCACUCUAAUAAGGGCGCCAAGGCCCCUGGCAGUUGUUUGCAACGUGGGGCCCACGUUCUCGAGGCUCAGGCCUGCCCGAAGGCCUGCUCUCAGCGCCUGGGCCCAGUUGGCAAGGGGGAACCUAGCGUCCCGGCUGCACCCCGGGAGAGGGCGGAGCGCUCCCGUGCCCCGGGGCAGGGGGGUAGGGAUCUCCCGCGCCCGGAACGUUGCGAGCAAGGCUUGUGAACGUCGCAGGGGGGCACUCUCGAGAGACGGACAGGAAGAGGGCCAGGGGGGAACGCCAGAACCCGGGACCCACAGCACGGAAACGGCCCAGGGGCUGAGCAGAAGUCAGAUCCCGGGAUGGAGGGAGCCGAAGAAGAGGAGUGAGGAGGCAGUGAAGGCAGGCUCUGCUGCCCUCCUGGAGGCCGGCAGUCUGCUGGGGCAGUGGAGGACCAGGCCACCCAUAAAGGGAAGGGGUCAGGAGGUCGGGGCCCCGGCCUUAUAG
rnacentral:lncRNA from 1 species